AUGAACGCUAGCGGCCGGCCUAAUACAUGCAAGUCGAACGGGAUCCAGAUCAAAGCUUGCUUUGGUCUGGUGAGAGUGGCGCACGGGUGCGUAACGCGUGAGCAACCUACCCUUGUCAGGGGGAUAGCCCGGCGAAAGUCGGAUUAAUACCGCAUGACAUCAUUGAGAGGCAUCUUUCGAUGAUCAAAGAUUUAUCGGACAAGGAUGGGCUCGCGUGACAUUAGCUCGUUGGUAAGGUAACGGCUUACCAAGGCUGCGAUGUCUAGGGGCUCUGAGAGGAGAAUCCCCCACACUGGUACUGAGACACGGACCAGACUCCUACGGGAGGCAGCAGUAAGGAAGAUUGGUCAAUGGACGGAAGUCUGAACCAGCCAUGCCGCGUGCAGGAGGACGGCCCUAUGGGUUGUAAACUGCUUUUAUACGGGAACAAACGUCGGUGCGUGUACCGGUCUGAGUGUACCGUAAGAAUAAGGAUCGGCUAACUCCGUG
rnacentral:rRNA from 1 species